UACGUAGGGGGCAAGCGUUGUCCGGAAUCAUUGGGCGUAAAGAGCGCGUAGGCGGCCCUGUAAGUCCGCUGUGAAAGUCAAGGGCUCAACCCUUGAAUGCCGGUGGAUACUGCAGGGCUAGAGUCCGGGAAGAGGCGAGUGGAAUUCCUGGUGUAGCGGUGAAAUGCGCAGAUAUCAGGAGGAACACCAGUGGCGAAGGCGGCACUCUGGCCCGGUGACUGACGCUGAGAUACGAAAGCGUGGGGAGCAAACAGG
rnacentral:rRNA from 1 species